ensembl:lncRNA
GGGAUACCAUGGAAUAAAAAGGUAGGAGAGAUGUAAAGCAUGAGACAGACUUCCACCCACAGUUGCUGACUUUCAAGAUGAAGAGGCCAUGAGCUAAAAAAUGCUGAAAGUCUCUAGAGGCUGAGAGCAACCACUGGCAACAGCCAGCAAGGAAGUGGCAGCUUCAGUCCUCUAACCAACCACAUGGAGCUGAAUUCUUUCAACAGCCUGAAAGAGCCUAGCAGUACGGUUUCCUCCAGAGCCUUCAGAAGUCUGCCCUCCAUUUUCUCCCUUGGGGGAAGCAUUCCUGGAGCCAAGUUCUCCAGCCCCAGUAAACUUCGCUGAACUCCUUUACUUUGGUCUCAUGUAAGCUUCUUCUACCCACCAAAGUCAGCUUUUAUUUGUGACUCCAAAACAAAGAGACUUUGAGACUUCAGGAAAUACAUCAGGAUACGUAGUUCCUGCUUAAGCCUGAGGAGAAAGUGGGGGUUAGAUCAAGAAACAUUUUUAAAAGUUGAAAUUUGCUCACGCUGGAGGAAGCCAGCUGCGAUUUCAUCAAGCACGUCCGUGAAGAAGUCGACAUGAGUCUGUCUGGAAGCAGAUCCUCCCUCAACAGAACUUUUUUCUAGGCUUGGCUAACCACUGACUGCAACCUCAUGAGAGACCUUGAAACGACCAGCUAACCCAUGUUCCAGUUCCCGACUCAUAGAAACUGUGAGAUCAAUGUUUUUUAUUUCAAGCUGCUAAGUUUUGGGGUACUUUUUUUUACACAGCAAUUGAGAACUAAUACAACAAAUACGUACUCACGGCUCAAUGCAAUCCUCAAAACCAGCACUUUAUGGAGUGUUCCUAAUAGUCUGUAUCCAAAGCACUCUCUUUAAAACAGUUUGAUUAAAAGAAAAUAAUAAUGAUUGUCUUUUCCUAGUAUAAAAAGACAAGACACAUUUGGAAUUGAUGAGUUAGUCUUCACACUAAAGUAGUACUCACUUGACCUACUCAUACUUGACAUCGUUGUUUUCUUUCAUCAACUGCAGGACCUGCCUAAGAAGUUUCUUAGAAUCUGCUACCAACAUAUGAACAAAGGUAAUUUAGAAGACUUGGAUAUUAGCCUUAACUCCACUCUAAACUCACUGUAUAUCUUUGCCUACAGUGUUCAAUGUUCCUACAGUCAAUAAGCCUUGUCAGUUGUACAUCUUGUACUGGCACUGUGGAUUGCUGAUUUGUUCUCAAUUAGGGGAUGUCAAAACAUCCUAGAGAUUAAAAGGACUAUAUCAUCAAAUAUCACUCAUAGCAAUGAGGAAUAAAAAACUAAGGUCAGAAUGAGGAAUCAUGACACAUAAUUAAAAUGUUUUUACUGUAGUUUUCUUAGAGCUGUAAUAGAGCCUUGAAUCAGUAAGAGCUGUAUUAAGACUCUCAUAGAUGAAUGGGCUGAAAGUAUAAACAAAAAUUCACAGAAAUAGACAUUUACACACACAAGAAGUAUAGGAAAAAUGUUAAAACCUCAUUAGUAAUCAAAGAAAUGGAAAUUACCAAAUAAGAAUUGUUUAAAGGGUUACCCUAUCAAGUUGGCAACGAUAAAGAAAGAAUAAAAUGAAACACUAGUGAAACUGUAGUGACAGGAGCACACUAUCAGGUUUCUGGUAGCAGGAAUUCUGGAGAGCUGUUUGGCACUGUGUAUCAACUACCACAAAAAGUUCAAUGCUUUGAUUCCUGGAGUCCACUUCUAGAAAUCUUUUUUAAUAAUCUAAUCUGAGAUAUAGCCAAAUAUUUGUGUAAAAAUAUAUCAUGGGAAUGUAAUUAAUAAUAAAGAAGAUAAUGGAAGGAAGGAAGAAAGGAGCCAUCUGAAUGUCCAUUCACGGAAUGACAUACUGAAACAUGGCAAAUCCAUACCUUGAAGCAUUACACAGACAUCAAAAGUGGUAUUUUUAAAAGACUAUGUAAUAGAAGCAAUAGCAGCAUAUUUUAAAAGAUUAUUAUUUUUAAAGACUAUAUAAUGUUUUAAAUAGUACGUGAUAGAAAUAACAGCAUGAAAAAAGUUUAUGCACUAUUUAAUGUUAAGUAAAAAUGAUAAAACAUAAAAAUAUUAAAUAUGAUCCUAAUUUUGUAUGUAUAAAAGACUUAAAAGUUACUAUUUCUAUUGCUGGAAUUUCAAGUUUAAUUUUUUUAUUUAUAAUAUAUUGUCUGGGUAACCUAAAAAACAAUGUUUCCAACAAAUGAAUGUAGAUACUUUCUUCUCUCUUUCCUUUAAUUCUAUCUCAGAAGGUUUUACUAAAGGAAAGGUCUUGCUGAACUUUCAGAAAGCUGUCAUUUAGUUUGAAUCUUACACAGCGUUUUAUUUCUCUUCAAUAAAUAUCAAGAUCAGGAUUUAACACGUAGAUCAUAUCUGCAUAGUUAUAAAAUGGGCACACGACUUCCUUAGAUGAAAUGUUUCACUAGGCUUAUUUUUUAAAAGCUACAGAAUUUCUGCAAAUUAGAAUGUAUAAAAUAAAAUAGGGAUGAAAAUAAGUCAUAUAAUGGAUCCUUUAAUUUUCAUUGAAAAAACAUUGGGCAUGAUUAAAGGAAUUGGCUAAAAGGCAAUUUACGAAUUGCCUUUUAUGAAGCAUUUCAGUGAAUUACAGCCUUUGAAGAGGAAAUAAAGAUGUGUGGAUUAUUUGCUGUUUGAAAUGUACACAAAUUUUAUGCAUUUGUGGAUUGUGAGAAUAAAACUGGUCCAGAACCCUUACUGCUACACUUAUUGUUUUUAUCUCAGUGAUAACUCUUGACCUUGACCAAGAAAAAUUGCUUAGUUUGAAAUUCAAAUUUUGAGUGCAAUACAAAUAAAUUAAUUCUUGAGCUACUGAACAUAAGAGGCAGAUGGAAGUAGCUGACUACAUGAUCUUGCCAUCAUCCUUGGAAGACUAAAAUCUCUCCAUCAGAUUUGGUUAAUACCUUUACCUGUUCAAAAGCAAAUGGAGCACUAACGGAGAAGGAACAAAGUGACCCUAUGCCAGCGUUUCUGAAACAUGACAUGCAGCUUGCUACUAGUAAGUGGAAAUGUGGUCAUCUAUCAGUGUGGCAGUCACUAAGAAUUUUAAAAAGAAAGAGAUAUUAUAAUGCUGGAACACAGCUAAAAUAACAAUGAUAAAAAGCCAUGAUGAUAGUCUCCCAAAAAAUGAAGAAAAAAGAAAAAGAAAGAGGGAGAGAGAGAUUCAUGUCUUUCCAAAUGAAAGCAGGAAAUGUUUUAUGGAAGAAUAAAAGUGGACACAAAGAUAAGUUUUUGCUGCUUUCCUUUCUGGUCAGGUCUUCUCCUGAAUGGAUGAGGUCAUGAGGAAUUCGCAUUUAAGUGACUUUUUCUUUGAUUUCUAAAGACAAGAGCCUGAAAAGGCUCAGAAUGCUACCAAACUAGAUAAAGGGCACACCAAUGAGGGGGACUUUGCUUUUUAAAAUUAUGGUGGACUCAGUGCCAGCCUGGUGGUGUAGUGGUUAAGUUUGCAUGCUCUGCUUUGGUGGCUUGGGCUUCACAGGUUCUGAUCCUUGGCACAGACCUACACACUGCUCAUCAAGCAGUGCUGUGGUGGCAUCCCACAUACGAAAUAAAGGAAGAUUGGCACAGAUGUUAGUUCAGGGACAAUCUUCCUCAAACAAAAAGAGGAAGAUUGGCAACAGGUGUUAGCUCAGGGCCAAUCUUCCUUACCAAAAACAAAUGUGAUGGACUUGGGAAAAAACACUUGAACACUGAGAAAUCCUGAAAGAAUUCAGGAUAUAUUCUGAAAUUCACAAAUGAUAUAUUCUUAAUAAGUCAUUCUGUGCAUAGAUAAUACACAUAAUUUAACUGUUAACCAAGGCUUAAACUACCUAACCUACUCAACUUACAGAAAAAGACUUGAGUACAGAUAAUUUAUCUGCAAGAUAAUCUCAACAAAUAAAAAGUAGGCUGAGGAAUCAGGGAGAGUGAGACACAGAGGGAAGAAAAACCAAGGUAAGAUAUGUUGUCAAGGCCACUGUUAUAGGCAAUGGAACUCCUCUCUGGUUAUGAUUUUUGGGUUUUUUGCUUGUUUGUUUUGUUUUGUUUUGGAAAAACUUCCAGGGCCUUGGAGAAGUGAACAAAAUAUUUCUCAGAAAUGUCCAUCCAAAGAAUUCGCACUAAGGUAUUUCAACAGUGGCUUCUGUCUACCAUUUUUUAAGGGUAGUUCACAGGGACAUUAACAUGCUCACAAGUGCCGAGUGUGUGCUCCACAGCUUCAGAAAAGGCUCUGGGGCAGAAAAGGGAAGCAGGCACAUCGGGUUAGACUGUCAUCAUACAUGGGUGCAUCAUGCAUCAUUUUAGAGGGAAAAUUCUUCAAGGCAGAGAUUUUCUCAUUCAUCUUUGUAUUCCUCACAGUACCUAACACCCUGAAUUAUAACACCAUGUAUCCAAAAUGUUAUCAAUUAAAUAAACGGUGCUUUGAACAUCCUGCCUCAUGAAAGUCACUUAUGAUGCCUUAGCUAUAGUUUAUUCCUCCGUCCAAGCACUUAUCACAUUACAUUUUAAAUAUUUGUCUCUUUUCUCCCAUUAUAUUAUAAGCUUAUUAAGAGCAGAAAGAGUCUCACCCUUGUAUUCCGAACACAUAGCCCACUGAAUGCUGCUUAAUGACCUCUCAAUAAAUAUUAAAUCAAUGAAUUAGUGUUAGAAAUCUGUUCUUGGAGAUUUCUUUAUUUGGUACGGCUUUGCUUCCCAAAGAAAUAUUCAUUUCAUAUCAAUGCCUGACUUAUUUCACAAAUCUUGUCAUCUCAUUAACGUUUUUGAUAUAAAGCGCAAUGUUCUAGCCUAUAUGAUAUUCAAUAAAUUUCAAUCACGGUCAGUGGAUGUCAAGAUGUUACCAAAAUUCUGCACAUUUCAGUAUGGUAGACAUUAGUGAAAUGUGGCCAUUUAAAAUAAUUAAAAUUUAAUGUAAUUUAAAAUUUAGUUCCUCAGUCACACAUUUCAAGUGUUCAAUAGCCAUAUGUGACUAGUUGCUACCCUGCUAGAUAGCACAGAUUAUAGAACAUUUCUUCCAUCAUGACAAAAAGUUGUGUUGAAGAGUACUAUCAUAGAAUUUUGCAAAAAAGUCCCAGGUUCUAUAGCAUGGAACAUUCAAUUCUGAAGUAGGACUGGACAUUGGUGCUCCUACCACCAGCCCCAAACAAAUUUCUUCUGCCCACUUUGUGGCCAGGAGAAUGAGCAGCCCAGCCCCUCUCAGGUUCACUGAAGAAUCUGACUCAGGAUGUCGGGAAUGAGGCAGAGGUGAGGUCUGCAGCACUGGGUGCUCAUAGAAGGCAAUUUCUCCUCUUCACCUGGGUCUGAAGAACAGUAUCACUUCUGGUAAGUUCCCUGAGGUGAUUUCGGAGAACUGAGAGCUAAAUCCCUAAGACAAUCUCUCUUAUUUAUAUUAAGUGACAGAUAAAGGGAAGCUGAUCAGUAGAUAUUAGCUGUAAAGAACUUACAAGUAAUGUUAUUAGCUCUGAACAGCCUCUCCUGUGCAUUUUUCUCUGUGACCUUGAGGUUCUCAGGUGGUGUUCAUCCCAGCAGUAAAUGCCAUGCUGUUGUCUAAACUAUGUGACGUUUGGAAUUUCACUUACUAACUGUAGAUUUUAAAGGGAAUGGUGCAAUAAUUUUCUUAGAUUUCUUUGGGUAUACAUUGCCUUUUAGUUUGAGUUUUGUGUUAAGAUAUUUAAAGUCAAGUGACCUCUAGUUUAACCUUUAGAGUCCCAAAUCAACCGUUUCAAGACAGAAAAUGCCAGGCUAAUUACACCAUUUCCUCUCAGUGUUCUAUUCUUCAAAACCACGUGGUGCUUAUCUACUAGAGGCCAAGACACAUUUCCUUCAGUUGGGUGAAUUAGCAAUGAUGAUCCAGUUAGUACUAUUUCAAAGUGGCAUGUAGACAGUGCCUAUCCCUUGCUGAAAACAAAACGUGUUUUUUUUUUAAUUAGAGUAGCCAAAAACUAUAAAAUAUCCAGAACAUUUCUGGUAAAUCCUGGAGCCCUGUUGUGGUGAGUAAAGUCCCAUAUGUAAAUACAAAUGAAUCAUCCUGUGGUUUGUACUCACGUGUUCCCAAACAACUUUGUGUUUAUUUCACUUUAACCAACACUUCAUUUGAUGCUAUGAUUGAGAGAAAGACAGCAUAUAAGUGGAGAAUUGGAAUUUUAUUGUUGUUGCUUGUCAAAUAAUUCUUUUGUUGAAAGUUAUAAUGACUCUAUUUCCUUUCAUUUUGUUUCUGAUGUGCGUGUGUGCGUUUGAAUUGGGGCUCUCAUCUCAUCUUGAUUCUUUCCAUUCUUACAACUCCAUGCCCCUCUGGUCUCUGGAAAAUCAUUUAAAAUUCACAUAUUUUUUGGAAGUCUUUUUUGACUUACCCAGACAAACGUUAAUCAAAU